GAAGCUGCAAGUGCUGAGGCGCGGUGGAGGAAAGCAUGGGAGCCAAGAGUAUGAGGAGCUGGUGUCUGUGUCAGAUUUGUAGCUGCGGGUAAGAAACGGCUGGUGUAGCGGCGGGCCCGGGCUUGGGAGCCGACCUAGGGCCUAGGUGCACGGAGCCGGCUCCUCGGGAACCCUGAGAGUGGCCGUCCCCCGGAGAUGAAGGGACGAGGGCGCAGCGACAUCCCCACUUAUCCCGCUCCGCGAAUACUCGCUCCGCACCCGCCUGCUACCCGGGGGUAAAAUGUUUGUUCGUAGCCCCUGAGACUCCCAAUCAAGGAUGCAAAGUAAAAUGCCACCCGGGCCAGGUCGGAUUAUUGUCCUUAUGAAAUAGUUAAACAGCCUCGCCAUGUGCCAGAAGAAUAUAAACCAAAACAAGGGAAGAUCGAUCUUGGUACUACCUACAAACGGGAUUUUAAUUCGUAUAAAGUGCAGCCUGUGGCAAUAGUCCGGCCUUUGGAGAGACAAGUUAAAAAAGGAAAAUUGGACACUGUCCCAACCUAUAAAGACGAUUAUAGAGCUUGGGACCUUCAUAAAAGUGAACUUUAUAAGCCAGAACGAACUUACCACCCCCAUACUGUGAAAUUUGGAAAUUCAUCUACAUUCCAGGAUGACUUUGUUCCUCAGGAGAUAAAGCCUAGGCAAAGCUUUAAACCCUCCUCUGUGGUCAAACGUUCUACAGCCCCUUUUAAUGGUAUUACAAGUCAUCGCCUUGAUUAUAUACCUCAUCAGCUUGAACUCAAGUUUGAAAGGCCAAAAGAAGUUUACAAACCAACUGACCAAUGCUUUGAGGAUCUCACAACUCACCGGUGUGACUUUCAGGGUCUCAUUGGUGAAACUGCAAAACUCUGCAGACCUGUACACACCAGAGUGACCCAGAAUGCUCGGUUUGAAGGAAGCACUGAAUUCCGUGAAAGUUUUCAACCAUGGGAAAUCCCACCACCUGAGGUCAAGAAAGUACCAGAGUAUGUGCCUCCUACAGGUAGCAUGCUGUUAAACAGCACAAGCCAUCUUGACUAUGUUCCAUAUCAGGCCAACCAUGUUGUUCCCAUCAGGCCAGUUUCUCAAAAAAGAAGUAACAAUUUUCCUUUCCAAGGAAAAAGCACCAUGAAAGAAGAUUUUCCAGCAUGGGAAAGUUGUCGUCAAGGACUUAUUAAGAAGCAGCAGCAGAUUCCCAACCCAUCUGGAAAAUUUGAUGGUUUGAGCACUUUCAGAUCUCACUAUGUGCCACAUGAAUUGAUCCCAACAGAGAGUUGCAAACCUUUAAAUAUUGCUUUUAAGAGUUCCGUUCCAUUUGAUGAUGUAACCACGUACUCUGUAGAAUACACACCGAAAAGACAGGAAAUUUGCCCAGCCAGCUAUCCCUCUCCUCCAGGUUAUAUUUUUGACAAUACAAAUUCCCAAGGUCAUAAAUUCUUCCGCAAGAUUAUUCCCGCAGUGAAGGCCUUCUAAUAACCAAAAUGUGCUUAAAAGGAAGGUACUAGCAAGUUGUUGUUUUUCCAAGAGAAAACUCAAUUUUUAUAGUUAAAAAAUUUAUGAUAUAAUAAAUCAUUUUUUAUAUUUUUAAACAAGAAAAUUGGAAAAUGUAUUAUAAGAAAUCAGAAUCUUAAAACCAUUUUUUAUUGAUAUUUUAAUCAAGAUUGUUCUUUAAUGUGCAUUUCAGAAGGUUGAAUAAUAUACAUUCCCAUGUGAACUAUUUUAGUAUUCAACAUACUGCUUAGUAGCUUGUCCUCAGUCUAUUAUCAUUUGUAAUUCUGUUUAUAAUUAUGGCAAUUGUAUGGUUAUUCACAUACCAGUUGUCAUUUAUCAAGCACAUCAGGAUUAUCUAGAACAACAUUGAAAAUGAUACAUGGAUUCCUCUUCCAAGGCAACAGGAUUCAUUAUACUCAGACCUCACGGCAUCUACAUAGCAUCCACUGAAUCAAGUUUUAGUUGGUGGUAUACAGACAGCUGCACUGCUCCUCACCAU
rnacentral:sRNA from 1 species